rnacentral:rRNA from 1 species
AACGCGAAGAUCCUUACCUAGCUCUUGGAGCUGUCUGGAAUCCCGAAGAGAUUUGGGAGUGCCGCAAGGAACCACGAAUUUCAGGUGCUGCAUGGCUGUUUGUCAGCUCGUGUCGUGAGAUGUUGGGUUAAGUCCCGCAACGAGCGCAACCCUUGCUCCUUAGUUGCCAUCAUUUAGUUGGGCACUCUAAGGAGACCGCCGGUGACAAACCGGAGGAAGGUGGGGAUGACGUCAAGUCAUCAUGGCCUUUAUGACCAGGGCUACACACGUGCUACAAUGGUAGAUACAGAGGGAAGCCAACUCGCGAGAGGGAGCCAGUCCCAGAAAAUCUAUCGUAGUCCGGAUUGGAGUCUGCAACUCGACUCCACUGAAGUCGGAAUCGCUAGUAAUCGCAGAUCAGCAUUGCUGCGGUGUAUUUUUUUUUUCCCGGGUCUUGUACACACCCG